rnacentral:rRNA from 1 species
UACGUAGGGUGCGAGCGUUAAUCGGAAUUACUGGGCGUAAAGCGUGCGCAGGCGGCUUCGCAAGUCAGGCGUGAAAGCCCCGGGCUCAACUCGGGAACUGCAUCUGAAACUGCUGUGCUUGAGUCCUGGAGGGGGUAGUGGAAUUCCCAGUGUAGCGGUGAAAUGCGUAGAUAUUGGGAGGAACACCGGUGGCGAAGGCGGCUACCUGGACAGUGACUGACGCUGAGGCGCGAAAGCUAGGGGAGCGAACGGG